CAUACCAUAUUGCAUAAAUGUCAUGCUAACUAAGUGCUGAAACCCACUAAAUGCUGCUUGCAGCUUUAAUUGAAAUUGGAAAUGUAAAGACAAUUGCUUAGUUACAGUAACAUAUAUAUUCCAAGGGGCUUCAAACUUUCCUUUUGUCAUUACUUGGUCCCCUGGUAAUCUGUUUGCAGCUAUAUUCUUUAAUAUUUUGCAGGUACACCCAGAUUACUACAAAGCAGCCAACGUGCACCGAAUGCCUGAAGGUCCUGUCAGUAGCCAAGCCAUAAUUUCUCAAAAUAAUCGACAGAGCAAUGUGUGACAAGCGACUGAAAAAGGAUGAACACAUUUUUGUCCUUUACUACCUGGAGGCUCUGCUGAUGUUGAAAAAACUGCAACGUAGUGGUGUUGUGAAGAACAUGACAGUUGCGGAAUGGUGCUCCAGACAUAAGGUUUCUGAAACGUGCACAAAUUGUGAUUGGUGUGAAAGAGCACAAGACCAGGGCACAUCAGGUGGCAACAAUUGCAUUGGAUGAAGAGGAAGAGGCUCACAUCAGGACAGACUUUUUAAAGGCGUCUGGUGCUCCAACAGAGACAUUCUUUAUUUCUUCUACCUGCAGAGCAAUUUACAAUCCAUCAAAUGAUGUGAAUAAAUUGCAUCAGAAAUUUAAACUGCCAAGCAUUACUAGCCGAAAAGCACACCAGGUCUUUAAAAUGAACCUGAAGUCAGGCUACACUGAGUCUGAAAGGGGCUUGUUGCAAACUACCUGGCACAUUCAACUGCCACAGCAGAAAGUCAUUACCGCCUGAAGACAGCAGAGACUGCAGUCAUGGGAAUGCAGAUCAUCAGAAAAAUGACCGAUACAACUGUGGCUGGGCAACCGGAGAUCACCGCACUGCCACAGUCAUUAGAAGGAGUAAAUCCACAAGAUGACUUUCAAGUGACACUUGAUGCAGACCCUCCCAAGAAGAAACAAAGCCCUCACCACUCCAAAAAACAGUUACAAAGCCUUUUACGAUAAAUGUAGAGAGAGUUGCUGCAAAAGAUGCGCAUCAAAGAUGUUAUUGCAAACUUCCCAUGCAGAAAGCCUUCUAAAGGUCAGGUGAAGAGAUACAUUUCGAAACAGGGUUGGACAGAAUGCAGAAACAGUGCGGAGAGUGUGUGUCAACAUUGGAAAUCUGCGGAGACAGAGAAAGCAGAAUUUGACGGGGGGCCCAUGAAGAAGCUGGUGUUGUCACAGAGGUGGACGGGAUUGCGCCAUGAUGACAAGAACGUUUGAGAAAGGAGAGGUGGUCUGUGACUAUCAUGGCCUUCCUAUAUCCUUCAAGGGGGGCCAGGCGCUUAUGAAGAACACACCCAAGGAUACAAAAGGCUACUUGUAUUUUUAUUAGAACAGCUAAGGUGUGAGUUGCUGCUUUGAUGGACAGACUUUCCUGUGCCCAUGACACCCUGAAAUGGAAACAUUUGGAAGGAGGAUCAAACACUCAAAACCUCAAAUCAGUCUUGAAGACCCUUACCAUUGAUAGCAUCAAGAAGGACUUCAUCUUCUUCAUCGCCAUAAAUGACAUCAAGUGUGAUGAAAAACUUACUUUUGACCAUGCAGAAGCAGCUAAUGCACAAUGUUUGGAUGACUAGGCCCAUUGUCAGCAAAUUUACAUUCUGAAGAAAAGAUUGAACGUUGUUUUAAUUAAGAUUUACAUUUUAUCCAGAUUGUAUAUUGUACAGUUUUUUAUCAUUGGUU